rnacentral:rRNA from 1 species
GACGAACCGUGCGAACGUUAUUCGGAAUCACUGGGCUUAAAGCGCGUGUAGGCGGGCCGGCAACGUCGGUCGCUGAAAUCCCCCGGCUCAACCGGGGAAGGGGCGCCGAUACGACCGGCCUGGAGGGGCGUAGGGGGACCGGGGAACUUCCGGUGGAGCGGUGAAAUGCGUUGAGAAUCGGAAGGAACGCCCGUGGCGAAAGCGCGGUCCUGGACGCCUGCUGACGCUGAGACGCGAAAGCCAGGGAGCGAACGG